rnacentral:lncRNA from 1 species
GCAAUACUGUCUCUAAGCUUGCCAUCUCAAAUCUCAGCUGAUACCUACUUGUACUCAUCACCUCCUCCUCCCAAGAAGCCCUAUUAUUAUCACUCUCCUCCACCACCUUCACCUCCUCCACCUAAGCCAUACUACUAUCAUUCACCACCACCACCUUCACCUCCUCCACCCAAGCCAUACUACUAUCACUCACCACCACCACCUUCACCUCCUCCACCUAAACCAUACUACUAUCACUCACCACCACCACCUUCACCUCCUCCACCUAAACCAUACUACUAUCACUCACCACCACCACCUUCACCUCCUCCACCUAAACCAUACUACUAUCACUCACCACCACCACCUUCACCUCCUCCACCUAAGUCAUAUUACUAUCACUCACCACCACCACCACCCAAAAAGAAGCCAUACUACUACCAUUCUCCCCCACCACCUUCACCACCUCCUCCUAAGCCAUACUACUAUCACUCUCCCCCACCGCCUUCACCUCCUCCACCUACGCCAUACUACUAUCAUUCUCCCCCACCACCCUCACCACCUCCACCUAAGCCAUACUACUACCAUUCACCACCACCCCCACCGAAGAAGAAGCCUUACUACUACCACUCUCCACCACCACCUUCACCUCCUCCUCCAAAGAAGCCAUACUACUACCACUCCCCACCUCCUCCCAAGAAGCCCUACAAAUAUUCAUCUCCCCCACCUCCAGUGCACCCUUACCCUCAUCCUCACCCCCAUCCCCAUCCACACCCCCACCCUCACCCUCCCUACGUUUACAAAUCUCCUCCCCCACCCCCUAAGAAGCCAUACAAGUA